rnacentral:lncRNA from 1 species
AGGUGGCCUGUCCUCACCCAAGCGCUCCGCGCGCCGCUUCCCCUUCGCACAGAGCUGCGGCGGGAGCUGAGCGAGCCCAGAGGAGGGCCCUGCGGACCGGAUCCCCCUGAAGAGGAGUAGGCUAGGGGCUGCUCUCCGUUCGGGGGUAGGAGGGGAACCAGACCCGGGCCCACAGGGCCGACUCGGGCGUUAGCCCCUUGGUGGCUCCUGUCCCCCGGACAGUACAGGCAGGGCAGGCACCUCCUGAUGACCACUGUGUUCCUGCGCUCCGGGGAUCUUCCCCGCUCUUCCAUUCCCUCCCUUUCUCUCCGCUCCCACCAGGAUCCGGGAAAAAGCUGAGGCGCAGGUCCCCUUCCCACACAGCCCGAGACACUGCUCUUUGGUGGGCGUCUCUGCCCGUGGGAAUCUCCCUCCGAGUUUUUCCAGGCUCGAUUGGGUUGCGCCCAGAAAGGUCCUCCGGAGGGCGGAGGUGGGCCCGGAACGGGUAGUACCGGCCAUCCGGCUGGAAAGGGCACGAAUCUGGUGAUUCAGGGUGCAAAUGGC